rnacentral:rRNA from 1 species
UACGGAGGGUGCAAGCGUUGUCCGGAUUUAUUGGGUUUAAAGGGUGCGUAGGCGGCUCUGUAAGUCAGCGUUGAAAUAUGGCAGCUCAACUGUCAGACUGGCAUUGAUACUGCAGGGCUUGAGUAAAGUCGAGGUAGGCGGAAUUGACGGUGUAGCGGUGAAAUGCAUAGAUAUCGUCAAGAACAUCGAUUGCGAAGGCAGCUUACUAGGCUUUAACUGACGCUGAGGCACGAAAGUGUGGGGAUCAAACAGG